rnacentral:lncRNA from 1 species
AUAUUGCGAAAUGAUCACCACACUAAGUCUGGUUAACAUCUGCCACCAUACGUAGAUAAAUACACUGAAGUGGAAUUGCUGGAUCUUAUGGUAGUUCUAUUUUUAAUUUUUUGAGGAACCUCCAUACUGUUCUCCAUGGUGGCUGCACCAGUUUACGUUCCCACCAACAGUGCACGAGGGUUCCGUUUUCUCUACAUCCUCACCAACAGUUUGUUGUCUUUUUAAUAAUAGCCAUUCUGACAGAGGAAGAUUAGCCCUGAGCUAACAUCUGCUGCCAAUCCUCCUCUUUCUGCUGAGGAAGACUGGCCCUGUGCUAACAUCCGUGCCCAUCUUCCUCUACUUUCUUAUGUGUGGGAUGCCUACCACGGCAUGGCUUGCCAAGUGAUGCCCUGUCUGCGCCUGGGAUUUGAACUUGCGAACCCUGCGCUGCCAAGCAGAACGUGCAAACUUAACUGCUGCACCACCGGGCUGGCCUUCAGCUCAUUUGUUAAUUAGAUUUUUUUUUCCUGUUGGGAUGUAUGAGUUCUUUAUAUAUUUUGGAUAUUAACCCCUUAUCAGAUAUAUGCUUUGCAAAUAUUUUCUCCCAUUCUGUAGGUUGCCUUUCAUUUUGUUGAUGGUUUCUUUUGCUGUGCAGAAGCUUUUUAGUUUGAUGUAGUCCCACUUGUUUACUUUUGCUUUUGUUGCCUUUGCUUUUGGAGUCAGAGCCAAAAAAUCAUCGCCAAGAUGUACACCCAGUUGCUUACCGCCUGUGUUUUCUUCUGGGAGUUUUACGGUUUCAGGUCUUAGAUUCACAUCUUUAAUUCAUUUUAAGUUAAUUUUUGUGUAUGGUGUAAGAUAGGGGUCCAGUUUCGUUGUUUUGCAUGUGGCUGUCCAGUUUUCCCAACACCAUUUUUGAAGAGACUAUCCUUUACCCAUUGUAUAUUCUUGGCUGCUUUGUCAUAAAUUAACUGACCAAAAUGUGUGGGUUUAUUUCUGGGCUCCCUAUUUGUUCCAUUGAUCUGUUUGUCUAUUUUUAUGCCACCAUAUUGUUUUGAUUACCAUAGCUUUGUAAUGUAGUUUGAAAUCAGGGAACGUGAUUUCUCCAGCUCUGAUCUUUCCUUCUCAAGAUUGCUUUGGCUAUUUGGGGUCUUUUGUUGUUCU